rnacentral:rRNA from 1 species
GGACGCUGGCGGCGUGCCUAAUACAUGCAAGUGAAACGGGUAUCUUCGGAUACCAGUCGCGGACGGGUGAGUAAUACAUAGGCAACCUGCCUUUAUGAGGGGGAUAACCGAGGGAAACUUUGGCUAAUACCGCAUGAAGACUCUAAGGCAUCUUAGAGGGAUAAAAGUUGGGAAACAACGCAUGAAGAUGGGCUUAUGGCGCAUUAGCUAGUUGGUGAGAUAGAAGCCCACCAAGGUAAUGAUGCGUAGCCGACCUGAGAGGGUGAACGGCCACAUUGGGACUGAGACACGGCCCAAACUCCUACGGGAGGCAGCAGUAGGGAAUUUUCGGCAAUGGGGGGAACCCUGACCGAGCAACGCCGCGUGAAGGAAGAAGGUUUUCGGAUUGUAAACUUCUGUUAUAAGGGAAGAACGGAUUGGAUAGGGAAUGAUCUGAUAGUGACGGUACCUUAUUAGAAAGCCACGGCUAACUACGUGCCAGCCGCCGC